rnacentral:rRNA from 1 species
CAGUAGCCGCGGUAAUACGUAGGUGGCAAGCGUUGUCCGGAAUUAUUGGGCGUAAAGGGCUCGCAGGCGGUUUCUUAAGUCUGAUGUGAAAGCCCCCGGCUCAACCGGGGAGGGUCAUUGGAAACUGGGAAACUUGAGUGCAGAAGAGGAGAGUGGAAUUCCGCGUGUAGCGGUGAAAUGCGUAGAGAUGUGGAGGAACACCAGUGGCGAAGGCGACUCUCUGGUCUGUAACUGACGCUGAGGAGCGAAAGCGUGGGGAGCGAACAGGAUUAGAGACCCGAGUAGUCCCUGUCUCUUAUAA